UGGCUCUUCGGAAGGUAAUUUAGGGAUCACCCAUCCUUCUCCUGCCACGGCAUGCACCCACACAUGCGAGCCUCCCGGGUACUGUCAUCCUGAAUUCUGAGACCAUCCAGCACUUCCUUUAGUUUUGCCCUGGUGCUGUUGACUUUUGUUUACUGAAGAGUGUGCUGGAGGCAGGACAAGGGACAUGGAAGGCUGCAAUUUAAGAGUCUAAAAGGUUUUAGAAUCCUGAAGGAGGUUUAACAAGCUGAAUUGAAGAAUAAUACCUUUCUCAACUGGAGAGAAUUUACAUGAUUGCAUUAUUGUUAAAAUUAACAUCUCAUCUAUUAAAAGCAUUUGUAGAUUAU
rnacentral:lncRNA from 1 species